GGGGUAUAGUUCUUCGGAGCUAGAGACCGGCGCACGGGUGCGUAACGCGUAUGCAAUCUACCUUUUACAGAGGGAUAGCCCAGAGAAAUUUGGAUUAAUACCUCAUAGUAUGCGAGAAUCGCAUGGUUUUCACAUUAAAGUUCCAACGGUAAAAGAUGAGCAUGCGUCCCAUUAGCUAGAUGGUAAGGUAACGGCUUACCAUGGCGACGAUGGGUAGGGGUCCUGAGAGGGAGAUCCCCCACACUGGUACUGAGACACGGACCAGACUCCUACGGGAGGCAGCAGUGAGGAAUAUUGGACAAUGGGCGCAAGCCUGAUCCAGCCAUGCCGCGUGCAGGAUGACGGUCCUAUGGAUUGUAAACUGCUUUUGUACAGGAAGAAACACUCCCUCGUGAGGGAGCUUGACGGUACUGUAAGAAUAAGGAUCGGCUAACUCCGUGCCAGCAGCCGCGGUAAUACGGAGGAUCCAAGCGUUAUCCGGAAUCAUUGGGUUUAAAGGGUCCGUAGGCGGUUUAAUAAGUCAGUGGUGAAAGCCCAUCGCUCAACGGUGGAACGGCCAUUGAUACUGUUAAACUUGAAUUAUUAGGAAGUAACUAGAAUAUGUAGUGUAGCGGUGAAAUGCUUAGAGAUUACAUGGAAUACCAAUUGCGAAGGCAGGUUACUACUAAUGGAUUGACGCUGAUGGACGAAAGCGUGGGUAGCGAACAGGAUUAGAUACCCUGGUAGUCCACGCCGUAAACGAUGGAUACUAGCUGUUGGGCGCAAGUUCAGUGGCUAAGCGAAAGUGAUAAGUAUCCCACCUGGGGAGUAC
rnacentral:rRNA from 1 species